rnacentral:rRNA from 1 species
UACGUAGGCAGCGAGCGUUGUUCGGAGUUACUGGGCGUAAAGGGUGCGUAGGCGGUUUUCCAAGUUUGGUGUGAAAUCUCCCGGCUUAACUGGGAGGGUGCGCCGAAAACUAGGAGACUUGAGUACCGGAGAGGUAAGCGGAAUUCCUGGUGUAGCGGUGAAAUGCGUAGAGAUCAGGAGGAACACCUGUGGUGUAGACAGCUUACUGGACGGUCACUGACGCUGAGGAGCGAAAGCGUGGGGAGCAAACAGG